UUUUCCCGAUUUUACGAUCGUCAUCGUUAUGGAGUAACGAAAUGACCAAAAGCUGAGCUUACCUCCUCGCACGUGCACAGCCCCUAAACAGAGAGCUCAGACUAACUCCGAGCCAGCAGCCGAUGUUAAUGCGUACAUGGCUAUCGUGUCCUAUUAUUAUUGGACGUGAUAGGGCUCGCAGUCGUUUUUUUAGUGUGAAGUCCAAGCCCCCGGCUCAGCCCGGGGAAGUUCAUUGGAAGCUGGGAAACUUGAGUGCAGAGGGAGGAGAGUGUAAUUCCACGUGUAGCGGUGAAAUGCGUAGAGAUGUGGAGGAACACCAGUGGCGAAGGCGACUCUCUGGUCUGUAACUGACGCUGAGGAGCGAAAGCGUGGGGAGCGAACAGGAUUAGAUACCUUGGUAGUCCACGCCGUAAACGAUGAGUGCUAAGUGUUAGGGGGUUUCCGCCCCUUAGUGCUGCAGCUAACGCAUUAAGCACUCCGCCUGGGGAGUACGGUCGCAAGACUGAAACUCAAAGGAAUUGACGGGGGCCCGCACAAGCGGUGGAGCAUGUGGUUUAAUUCGAAGCAACGCGAAGAACCUUACCAGGUCUUGACAUCCUCUGACAACCCUAGAGAUAGGGCUUUCCCUUCGGGGACAGAGUGACAGGUGGUGCAUGGUUGUCGUCAGCUCGUGUCGUGAGAUGUUGGGUUAAGUCCCGCAACGAGCGCAACCCUUGAUCUUAGUUGCCAGCAUUCAGUUGGGCACUCUAAGGUGACUGCCGGUGACAAACCGGAGGAAGGUGGGGAUGACGUCAAAUCAUCAUGCCCCUUAUGACCUGGGCUACACACGUGCUACAAUGGACAGAACAAAGGGCUGCAAGACCGCAAGGUUUAGCCAAUCCCAUAAAUCUGUUCUCAGUUCGGAUCGCAGUCUGCAACUCGACUGCGUGAAGCUGGAAUCGCUAGUAAUCGCGGAUCAGCAUGCCG
rnacentral:rRNA from 1 species